rnacentral:rRNA from 1 species
UACGUAGGGUGCGAGCGUUUAAUCGGAAUUACUGGGCGUAAAGCGUGCGCAGGCGGCGCGUUAAGACAGGUGUGAAAGCCCCCGAGCUUAACUUGGGAAUUGCGCUUGUGACUGGCGUGCUGGAGUGUGGCAGAGGGAGGUGGAAUUCCACGUGUAGCAGUGAAAUGCGUAGAUAUGCGGAGGAACACCGAUGGCGAAGGCAAUCCCCUGGGCCUGCACUGACGCUCAUGCACGAAAGCGUGGGGAGCAACAGG